rnacentral:rRNA from 1 species
CCCUGAUGUCAGCGGCGGACGGGUGAGUAACACGUGGGUAACCUGCCUGUAAGACUGGGAUAACUCCGGGAAACCGGGGCUAAUACCGGAUGCUUGAUUGAACCGCAUGGUUCAAUUAUAAAAGGUGGCUUUUACCUACCACUUACAGAUGGACCCGCGGCGCAUUACCUAGUUGGUGAGGUAACGGCUCACCAAGGCAACAAUGCGUACCCAACCUGAAAGGGUGAUCGGCCACACUGGGACUGAAACACGGCCCAAACUCCUACGGGAGGCAGCAUUAGGGAAUCUUCCGCAAUGGACAAAAGUCUGACGGACCAACGCCCCGUGAGUGAUGAAGGUUUUCGGAUCGUAAAACUCUGUUGUUAGGGAAAAACAAGUACCGUUCGAAUAGGGCGGUACCUUGACGGUACCUAACCAAAAAGCCACGGCUAACUACUUGCCACCACCCGCGGUAAUACU